rnacentral:misc_RNA from 1 species
CCAAGUUCGCCACCAAGCAUUGAGCAGCAGGACGAAACCGUCCCCUUCCUUGGCGCGCGCGCGGACGCAAGCAUCUUGACAUACACAAUGGUGCAGCUCACCAUCACCAACGCCAGAGGAGCAACCCUGUGCCGAGUUAGCCUCCCCGCCAACGCGACGGUGCAGCAGCUGCUGCUGCAACUCACCGUGGCGAAGCCGGAGCUGCGCCAUGCACAAGCGAUCCGCAAUGAUGCCCGUCACGUGACGCACCGCCUUACGCCAGCAUCUACCACCACCACAAGUGGGCUCUCAUCCAACGCACAAACACUGUUGCAAGCGGGCCUAGUUGGGCAAGGUGCAACGGCGGAGACGUUGGUAGUGCUAACGGCGGAUGAUGCUCCUGCCGCGGCGUCAUCGGCUGCAGCGGCGGCACCAUCCCCAACGAAGGCCGUCACAGCACGCAUUCUGGAUCUGUUCGGGUGCGCCUCGGCGUCUCCGUCGGCAGGGGUGCGGCCCCAAGCCAGUGCCGACCCCAGCACGAUGGACGAGCGCCAGCUAGAGCUGCAGCGCCGCAUCUACGCUCAAAUCCAGCAGCAGCAGAUAGACGAGAAUCUGGCCAACGCGCUCGAGUACACGCCAGAGGCGUUCGCGAAGGUAGCGAUGCUCUACGUGCCGUGCACCAUCAACCAGGUGCUAGUGAAAGCCUUCGUCGACUCCGGCGCGCAGAACAGCAUCAUGAACAAGCGCACGGCGGAGCGGUGUGGGUUGAUGCGGCUCGUCGACGUCCGCAUGCGUGGCGUCGCCGUCGGAGUAGGGCGGCAGGAGAUCUGCGGUCGCAUUCACAUGACCCCUGUGAACCUCGCAGGCAUGUACAUCCCCUUCGCCUUCUACGUGAUCGAGGACCAGGCAAUGGACUUGAUCAUCGGUCUCGACCAGCUGAGGCGCCAUCAGAUGAUGAUAGACCUCAAGCAUAACUGUCUCACCAUCGACAACAUCAACGUCCCGUUCUUGCCGGAGAACGAUCCGCCUGCGUUGACGAUGCUGGACGACGACGAGAAUGCUAUGCACGCGCCGCGUCACCAGGACCCGGCAGCGACAGCCAUCCCUGCUUCCAUCCCUGCUGCACCGGUGCUCUCGGAGGGCGAGCGGCAGGCUCGGAUUGAAGGUUUCAUGACGUUCUCGGGUAUAACUGACCCCACGCAGGCGGCGGAAUUGCUGGAGGCCGCCGACUGGGACCCCAACGUGGCGGCGGCGCUCCUCUUCGACACGUGAAAGACAAGGGAGGCGCCCACCCCGCCCCCACGUGCCCGCUACCGUUGCGCCUGUCUCCCAUCUCUUCUUUAUUGGAUGC